rnacentral:rRNA from 1 species
GACGAACCGUGCGAACGUUGUUCGGAAUCACUGGGCUCAAAGGGCGCGUAGGCGGCUUCUCAAGUCCGGGGUGAAAGCUUUCGGCUCAACCGGAAAAGUGCCUUGGAUACUGGGAAGCUCGAGGGAGGUAGGGGCGGUCGGAACUUCCGGUGGAGCGGUGAAAUGCGUAGAUAUCGGAAGGAACGCCGGUGGCGAAAGCGGGCCGCUGGACCUCCUCUGACGCUGAGGCGCGAAAGCCAGGGGAGCGAACGGG